rnacentral:rRNA from 1 species
UGCAGUCGAACGAUGAAAGCUGGAGCUUGCUCUAGCUGGAUUAGUGGCGAACGGGUGAGUAACACGUGAGCAAUCUGCCCUGGACUCUGGGAUAACCCCGAGAAAUCGGAGCUAAUACCGGAUACGACACCUCCCGGCAUCGGGUGGGUGUGGAAAGAAUUUCGGUCCAGGAUGAGCUCGCGGCCUAUCAGCUUGUUGGUGAGGUAACGGCUCACCAAGGCGACGACGGGUAGCCGGCCUGAGAGGGUGACCGGCCACACUGGGACUGAGACACGGCCCAGACUCCUACGGGAGGCAGCAGUGGGGAAUAUUGCACAAUGGGCGCAAGCCUGAUGCAGCAACGCCGCGUGGGGGACGAAGGCCUUCGGGUUGUAAACCUCUUUUAGUAGGGAAGAAGCGCAAGUGACGGUACCUACAGAAAAAGCACCGGCUAACUACGUGCCAGCAGCCGCGGUAAUACGUAGGGUGCAAGCGUUGUCCGGAAUUAUUGGGCGUAAAGAGCUCGUAGGCGGUUUGUCGCGUCUGCUGUGAAAAUCCGAGGCUCAACCUCGGACCUGCAGUGGGUACGGGCAAACUAGAGUGCGGUAGGGGAGAUUGGAAUCCCUGGUGUAGCGGUGGAAUGCGCAGAUAUCAGGAGGAACACCAAUGGCGAAGGCAGAUCUCUGGGCCGUAACUGACGCUGAGGAGCGAAAGCGUGGGGAGCGAACAGGAUUAGAUACCCUGGUAGUCCACGCCGUAAACGGUGGGAACUAGAUGUGGGGUCCGUU